AUGCCCCCCGGCAGGCCCAGCUCCGGGUGCUCCCCGCAGCCCUGGCACUGCGGUGGCUGCGCUCCCUUUGCCGGAUGGAGGCAGAGCACCCAGGUGGGUGCUUUUAUUCCUUGGGUGCUGGCAGGGAAGGAGGUGCUCCCAGGGAUGGGUGCGAUGCCCAGCAGACCUCCACCAGCCCCCGGGGCAGAGAUCCUCUGCCUGGUGAGGGACGGCUCCGAUAGGAAAAAGCUCAGGGAAGCAGCUGGGCUGCCUGGGGCCGUCCCUACGCCCCGAGACAGGGGUGAUGCUCGGUGCCAGCAGCACCGCAGCCCCCGGGAGCCAACAGCCCGCUGUGCCUGCGGCCGAGCAAGCGGCCGGGAGAGCAGGCGGCGCUCAGGAAGGGCGUGCUCCAGCCCAAGGACUUCUCUCCCGGGCCGUCUGCGCAGGCAUCACUUCCCCAGAGCGUGUCACGGCGGCGCGGGGCCGCUUCCUUCUGGCCGGGCUCACGAUCGAGCCCGCACGGAGGCGCCGGCAGGCACCGGGCACGGCCUCGCAAGCGGCCGGGACGAAGGCACCCAAGGGUGCCGGGGCGGGGAGCACGGGGGGCGCCCAGGGGACGGGGCGCAGCGCCCGGGGGCGCCACGGGGAGCGCGCCACCACGGGCAGCGCGCCACCACGAGGCCACGCCCACUACGAGACCACGCCCACUUGUGGCCACGCCCACUGCCGCCCGCCCAUUCAUCCCCGGCACCGCCCUACCGCUGGCCACGCCCCCUUUUCGCCCGCCCAUUCACACCACGCCCUAAAGCCACGCCCACUCCCUUGGCCACGCCCACUCCUGGCCACGCCCACCUCCCCGCCCUAUAUAAAGCCCGCCGCGGGGCGCUGCCGGCCCUGGGGGCGCUGCCCUCCCCCUGCGCUCACCUGCGGUGCUGGCAGCGGGGCUCUGGGGGGUGUCCGGGGGUGUCCCCGCGGUCCCGUUGGUGGUCCCUCGGGGCUGGCUGGGGGUUGAAUUGCUCCCAGGGUCCCCGGUGCUGGGGUGGGAGGGGGUUGCGGUGUCCAGAGGCGUUGUGGGGUCCGGCGGGGUUGUGUUGGGCUCGGUUGGUGUGA
rnacentral:lncRNA from 1 species